CCCCUUUAAAAAACAAACAAACAAAAAGAUGGAAGCCCCUUUUGGUUAGCACAGCUUGCAUGAUUUGUUCUUAACUUGGCAUUGUCAUCACUAUGUACAAGAGCAUUAAAACUGGAUACUAAGAAAUAAGAGUCUUCUGCUAACCUUUUGCAUAAAAAAUUAUAUAAACAAGCUUUCAUAAAUAAUAGUACACAAAAGAGGAAUUUUUCUAUCAUAAAAAUAUAGCAGCCAAAAUUAUUUGUCCCUAACAAAAGCAGUAGAUCAAUUCACUUAAGUUUGGAAAGCACUUAAGACAACAGCAGUAAAUUAAGUUACAGGUAAACGGAUCAACUAGAAGCAAUUUAUUUUUUACAGAAAGAACAGAAAACUACUUUCAACACCUUUUCAGAACUUAUUUUUUAAUUUUACAAAGAAGCUGGAUUUAAUUCAAGGAAAAGAAAAUAAAUAUUCUGGUUUGUACUCUACUUAAUCCACUGAUUACAUAGGAGACCACAAAACAGGGGGCAACACCUAUGGCAUAUGGGCCAGAUCUGGUCCACAGAGCCAUUAAAUCUGGCCUGUAGACUGGGGCUUUGGUGGCAAGGGACUUUACCUGAACUGCACCGCAGCUAGGCAGCAGAGAAACGGCUGCAUAGCCAGGUCCUAGCACUGGUCUGCCUUGGGUCAGAGGUGGGUCAUUCUGGCCCACCACCAGAAAACUUUGCUGACCCUUCAUGUGGAACACUAAGGACAGAAUUCUGCUUUAACAAUCAAGUGUGGUUCAACUGUUUAAUUUACACUGGUCUAAGUCAGCCCAUGUAAAAGCAAUUAGAAAUUAGGAGUCUAAUUCUGACUUCCACAAAAACUUAUUUGUUCAAAGCUAAGGUAUAAUCAGUCUGAUAUUUUGUUGGAGUCGCCUUUUACAAAUGACAUUUUCAAACAUUUUCACUACUUUGCUCCUAAUGAUGUUUAUACCUACUAAUCAUAAUUUUUGUCUUGUAUCGGUUGUUUACUCCAGGGUUUUAUAAACCCUACAACACUAAUUCAACUUCUGUGUAAGGACCAGCCAGCCAUAAGCUAUCUGAUGUUUUUGAAUGUAUGAAAUACUACCAAGCGCAGCACAAGGAACAUGCCAACUUAAAAUCUUAAUAUACCAUGAAAUGGUAGGCUUAGAGCAGCACCCUUGGUUGGGAUUUUAAAAUAAGCCUAAGAGAGUUAAGGCCUCUCUUGAAAAUUAUUGUAGCAGUAAUUUUGCCUGUUUUAGGAGUUUCUCAAUCAGAGUAAUAGUCCUUAUCGCCUAUUUUUUCACACACUUAAAAAUCAUUGUUUAUCCCAGUACACUGGUUGUCAACUUUUUUAAACUCAAGGCAUUCCUCAGAAGAUUCCAGCUCUUAGGUUCCACUCAUUUUUUGGACUAUGGAAAAGUAGCUGCAUUCUUCUGUGGCAAAGGUCUUGGAAAGGCCACAACUGAUAAGGAUAUUUCCUGCAGCACACUUAAAAUGAUCUCACAGCAUCCACGUUCUGCACUACCUCCUGUUCUGAGUAUUCAUAAGGGUAGCCUCAAAUAGAAUCAGUUAAAGUAAUUGGGUCUCGAGGGCAUUCUUUCUUGAUCAGCCAAAACCACAGGCAGUAAUUUUCAUCGUUGCUGGUCUUAGGACUUUUCAGGUGCAGAAAUAAAACUGGUGGGAUUGCUGAGAUUUAUCAUCAAGGUGGAUCAGAAGCUCAUUUGAAAGAACCUGCUGCAUUGUGAAUCAAUUUUACUUCUACCUAACUUGCAAUGAACUGUUGGCUUUAAUUCAGGUCAUUCAAUUUUGUCUCCAUCAAAUUCUGGGAGAGUAGGUAAACUUCAGAAUCUGAAGAAAGCAUAGCCUCAAAUUUCCUGAAUUGGCUCCACUAACCAACAGGUGUAUAUGGCAAGACUAUACCAUGCAGAACUUCAAAGCUUAGCAUGCUCAAAGAGGAAAAGUACCAUUUUUUAUCCAAGAGUGUCUCAGGAAAGAAUGAAUGCAAACACUCUAAAGCCAUUUGUUCCCAGCUUCCGCUCCAUAUUGGACCUCAAAAUAAAACUACUAGUGGAUGGCAGAAUAUAAAUUACUCUUAGCAAGGGAGGCUGUCAGAUGUCCACUGACUUGCAGCAAUCAGUCAUCAGCAAAACUAAUUUUCAGUGUUCAGAGCGGGACAUAAUUUCAGCCUUCUAAUAAAGACAGACAGACACUAAACAUUCAGUCACAAGGUGGUAAGAGCCAUCUUUGUAUUAUCUACAUAGAAAGAUAAUUUUACUCACACAGCAGUGUGUUAGAACUAAAAACAUUUGUUUCUAUUUUUGAAAAAGACAUUACCCAUCAAGACCAACUUCUGAUCUUUCAUGGCCAUACAGCUAUUUGGAUAAACAGGUAGUGCUGUAAGAUAUCCCACUACAUUCACCCUGAUCUUGCUGUUCAAGAAUCUGGAUUUCAAAAAGGAACAAAACCAGAUUUCAGUAUCAAUGGUGUGACGAUAUUAAAUGAAGAAUAUGAAGAAUGUAAGUGCUUAUGUAUAAGAGUGUCAUAAAACAUCAGGAGGAUUAAACCAAGAUUUCCGAACAAAGAAAAGCAAAGUGUUUGUUUGUUUGUUUGUUUGUUGUUCUUAAACAUGCUGUAAUCAAAGCCUACAAACCAGAUAUUUCCUCUUUCCUACGAACCUGACAGUGUAUCAAGGACAUAGCUUACCUUUUGCACUGAUACUGCGAAGAUCUGUGAUUUUCAUUAGGAUCUUUGGAAACAUGUGAGGCUUGUUGGGUCGUCUCUUUCGGAUGUAAAUUUUCAAUGCUUCCAGCAACGGUUCUUGUAGUUUAUCUACUUUUGCUGGUUCUUCAAGGUCCUGGCGGUCUGCAGAGGUAAAUAAAAAUUUUCCAUUGA